rnacentral:rRNA from 1 species
CCUACGGGAGGCAGCAGUGAGGAAUAUUGGUCAAUGGACGAGAGUCUGAACCAGCCAAGUAGCGUGAAGGAUGACUGCCCUAUGGGUUGUAAACUUCUUUUAUAUGGGAAUAAAAUGUUCCACGUGUGGGAUUUUGUAUGUACCAUAUGAAUAAGGAUCGGCUAACUCCGUGCCAGCAGCCGCGGUAAUACGGAGGAUCCGAGCGUUAUCCGGAUUUAUUGGGUUUAAAGGGAGCGUAGGUGGAUUGUUAAGUCAGUUGUGAAAGUUUGCGGCUCAACCGUAAAAUUGCAGUUGAAACUGGCAGUCUUGAGUACAGUAGAGGUGGGCGGAAUGCGUGGUGUAGCGGUGAAAUGCUUAGAUAUCACGAAGAACUCCGAUUGCGAAGGCAGUUCACUGGACUGCAACUGACACUGAGGCUCGAAAGUGUGGAUAUCAAACAGGAUUAGAUACCCCAGUAGUC